GACGGUACAGGGUGAUAGUCCCGUACACCAAAAUGCACAGGCUGUGAACUCGAAGAGUAGGGCGGGACACGUGGUAUCCUGUCUGAAUAUGGGGGGACCAUCCUCCAAGGCUAAAUACUCCUGACUGACCGAUAGUGAACCAGUACCGUGAGGGAAAGGCGAAAAGAACCCCGGCGAGGGGAGUGAAAAAGAACCUGAAACCGUGUACGUACAAGCAGUGGGAGCACCUUCGGGUGUGACUGCGUACCUUUUGUAUAAUGGGUCAGCGACUUAUAUUCUGUAGCAAGGUUAACCGUAUAGGGGAGCCGCAGGGAAACCGAGUCUUAACUGGGCGUUAAGUUGCAGGGUAUAGACCCGAAACCCGGUGAUCUAGCCAUGGGCAGGUUGAAGGUUGGGUAACACUAACUGGAGGACCGAACCGACUAAUGUUGAAAAAUUAGCGGAUGACUUGUGGCUGGGGGUGAAAGGCCAAUCAAACCGGGAGAUAGCUGGUUCUCCCCGAAAGCUAUUUAGGUAGCGCCUCGUGAACUCAUCUUCGGGGGUAGAGCACUGUUUCGGCUAGGGGGUCAUCCCGACUUACCAACCCGAUGCAAACUACGAAUACCGAAGAAUGUUAUCACGGGAGACACACGGCGGGUGCUAACGUCCGUCGUGAAGAGGGAAACAACCCAGACCGCCAGCUAAGGUCCCAAAGUCAUGGUUAAGUGGGAAACGAUGUGGGAAGGCACAGACAGCCAGGAUGUUGGCUUAGAAGCAGCCAUCAUUUAAAGAAAGCGUAAUAGCUCACUGGUCGAGUCGGCCUGCGCGGAAGAUGUAACGGGGCUAAACCAUGCACCGAAGCUGCGGCAGCGACACUAUGUGUUGUUGGGUAGGGGAGCG
rnacentral:rRNA from 1 species